rnacentral:rRNA from 1 species
GACGUAGGGUGCAAGCGUUGUCCGGAAUUAUUGGGCGUAAAGAGCUCGUAGGCGGUUCGUCGCGUCGGCUGUGAAAACCCGGAGCUCAACUCCGGGCCUGCAGUCGAUACGGGCGGACUUGAGUGUUGCAGGGGAGACUGGAAUUCCUGGUGUAGCGGUGAAAUGCGCAGAUAUCAGGAGGAACACCGGUGGCGAAGGCGGGUCUCUGGGCAACUACUGACGCUGAGGAGCGAAAGCGUGGGGAGCGAACAGG